AUUGAACGCUGGCGGCAGGCUUAACACAUGCAAGUCGAGCGGAGAUGAGGUGCUUGCACCUUAUCUUAGCGGCGGACGGGUGAGUAAUGCUUAGGAAUCUGCCUAUUAGUGGGGGACAACAUUCCGAAAGGAAUGCUAAUACCGCAUACGUCCUACGGGAGAAAGCAGGGGAUCUUCGGACCUUGCGCUAAUAGAUGAGUCUAAGUCGGAUUAGCUAGUUGGUGGGGUACAGGCCUACCAAGGCGACGAUCUGUAGCGGUUCUGAGAGGAUGAUCCGCCACACUGGGCCUGAGACACGGCCCAGACUCCUACGGGAGGCAGCAGUGGGGAAUAUUGGACAAUGGGGGGAACCCUGAUCCAGCCGUGCCGCGUGUGUGAAGAAGGCCUUAUGGUUGUAAAGCACUUUAAGCGAGGAGGAGGCUACUGAGACUAAUACUCUUGGAUAGUGGACGUUACUCGCAGAAUAAGCACCGGCUAACUACGUGCCAGCCGCCGCCGUAAGAC
rnacentral:rRNA from 1 species